rnacentral:rRNA from 1 species
GGUUCUGGGGGGAGUAUGGUCGCAAGGCUGAAACUUAAAGGAAUUGACGGAAGGGCACCACCAGGAGUGGAGCCUGCGGCUUAAUUUGACUCAACACGGGGAAACUCACCAGGUCCAGACACAAUAAGGAUUGACAGAUUGAGAGCUCUUUCUUGAUUUUGUGGGUGGUGGUGCAUGGCCGUUCUUAAUUGUUGGUGGAGUGAUUUGUCUGCUUAAUUGCGAUAACGAACGAGACCUUAACCUACUAAAUAGUGGUGCUAGCAUUUGCUGGUUAUCCACUUCUUAGAGGGACUAUCGGUUUCAAGCCGAUGGAAGUUUGAGGCAAUAACAGGUCUGUGA